GACGAACGCUGGCGGCGUGCUUUACACAUGCAAGUCGAGCGAUGAGAUCCCUUCGGGGAAGGAUUAGCGGCGAACGGGUGAGGAACACGUGAGGAAUCUGCCUUCAACACUGGGAUAACUCCGGGAAACCGGGGCUAAUACCGGAUACGAGACCUGCAGGCAUCUGCGGGUCUGGAAAGUUUUUCGGUUGAAGAUGACCUCGCGGCCUAUCAGCUUGUUGGUGAGGUAAUGGCUCACCAAGGCGACGACGGGUAGCCGGCCUGAGAGGGCGACCGGCCACACUGGGACUGAGACACGGCCCAGACUCCUACGGGAGGCAGCAGUGGGGAAUAUUGGGCAAUGGAGGGAACUCUGACCCAGCGACGCCGCGUGCGGGAUGAAGGCCUUCGGGUUGUAAACCGCUUUCAGCAAGGAAGAAGCGAAAGUGACGGUACUUGUAGAAGAAGCACCGGCUAACUAUGUGCCAGCAGCCGCGGUAAUACAUAGGGUGCAAGCGUUGUCCGGAAUUAUUGGGCGUAAAGAGCUCGUAGGUGGUUCGUCACGUCGGAUGUGAAAAUCUGGGGCUUAACCCCAGACCUGCAUUCGAUACGGGCGAGCUAGAGUGUGGUAGGGGAGACUGGAAUUCCUGGUGUAGCGGUGGAAUGCGCAGAUAUCAGGAGGAACACCAAUGGCGAAGGCGGGUCUCUGGGCCAUUACUGACACUGAGGAGCGAAAGCGUGGGGAGCGAACAGGAUUAGAUACCCUGGUAGUCCACGCCGUAAACGGUGGGCACUAGUUGUGGGAACCUUCCACGGUUUCUGCGACGCAGCUAACGCAUUAAGUGCCCCGCCUGGGGAGUACGAUCGNCAGAUUA
rnacentral:rRNA from 1 species